GACGAACGCUGGCGGCGUGCUUAACACAUGCAAGUCGAACGGAAAGGCCUCUUUCGGGGGGUACUCGAGUGGCGAACGGGUGAGUAACACGUGAGUAACCUGCCCUUGACUUUGGGAUAACUCCAGGAAACUGGGGCUAAUACCGGAUAGAAGCUCCUGCUGUAUGGUGGGGGUUGGAAAGUUUCGGCGCUAGGGGAGGGACGCGCGGCUAAUCAGCUUGUUGGUGGGGUAGUGGCUUACCAAGGCGUUGACGGGUAGCCGGCCGUAGAGGGUGACCGGCCACAUUGGGACUGAGAUAGGGCGCAUGGUGUUACGGGAGGCAGCAGUGGGGAAGAUUGUAAGAUGGGGGGUAGUGUGAGGCAGCAGCGCCGCGUAAGAGAGGCCGGCUUUCGGGUUGUAGGCGGAUUUAGGAUGCGACGAGCCGAGAGUGACGGGACGGGGUAAAGAAGCAAGGGCGAGCUACGUG
rnacentral:rRNA from 1 species